AUUUUGUUGUAGCACAAUUCUGCCUUUCCAUAUACAGCAUUUUACUGAGCCAGAAACAAUGAGUAUUAUAACACAUUAAAUAGGAGUUAAGCAAGAGAAGAGAAACCUAUUAACUUAAAAUUAUCAACCAACUAUAUUUUUUCAAACCAUUGCUACUUUACCUACAUUUUACACUGCAGCACAGUUGUGACCUGAAUCUAACACCUCAAGUAUCAAGAAAAUGAAAGAAAAAAAAGACGCUUUCGUGAACAAAAAGGAAGAGGGGGGGGGGGGUUG
rnacentral:misc_RNA from 1 species